AUUGAACGCUGGCGGCAGGCUUAACACAUGCAAGUCGAGCGGAGUGGUGGUGCUUGCACUAUCACUUAGCGGCGGACGGGUGAGUAAUGCUUAGGAAUCUGCCUAUUAGUGGGGGACAACAUUUCGAAAGGAGUGCUAAUACCGCAUACGUCCUACGGGAGAAAGCAGGGGAUCUUCGGACCUUGCGCUAAUAGAUGAGCCUAAGUCGGAUUAGCGAGUUGGUGGGGUAAAGGCCUACCAAGGCGACGAUCUGUAGCGGGUCUGAGAGGAUGAGCAGCCACACUGGGACUGAGACACGGCCCAGACUCCUACGGGAGGCAGCAGUGGGGAAUAUUGGACAAUGGGCGGAAGCCUGAUCCAGCCAUGCCGCGUGUGUGAAGAAGGCCUUAUGGUUGUAAAGCACUUUAAGCGAGGAGGAGGCUACUUUAGUUAAUACCUAGAGAUAGUGGACGUUACUCGCAGAAUAAGCACCGGCUAACUCUGUGCCAGCCGCCGCAGUAAGAC
rnacentral:rRNA from 1 species